rnacentral:rRNA from 1 species
UACGUAGGCGGAAAAUUAAGUCAGUAGUGAAAUCCCGCAGCUUAACUGUGGAACUGUUAUUGAUACUGGUUUUCUUGAAUAUAGUUGAGGUAGGCGGAAUGUGUAAUGUAGCGGUGAAAUGCUUAGAUAUUACACAGAACACCGAUUGCGAAGGCAGCUUACUAAGCUAUGACUGACGCUGAGGUACGAAAGCGUGGGGAGCGAACAGGAUUAGAUACCCUGGUAGUCC